rnacentral:rRNA from 1 species
ACAUUUCUUUUAGAUUAUUUAAAAAGUAAAGCCUGCCCACUGUUUAAAUAAAGGGCCGCGGUAUUUUGACCGUGCAAAGGUAGCAUAAUCAUUAGCCUUUUAAUUGGAGGAUGGAAUGAAUGGUUUAAUGAUUUUUUUCUAUUAUUUUUAUUUAUAUAACAAUUUUGAUUUUAAGUGAAAAUACUUAAUUAAUUUAAUUAGACGAUAAGACCCUAUAGAAUUUUAUUUUUAAUAUAUUUAAAUAAUAUGGACAAAGUUUAAAUGGGGCAUUUUUUGAUUAAAUAAAAUUUCUAACUAAUUAUUUAAAAAUAUCUUUAUUUUAAUAUUUUAAAAAAAUUACCUUAGGGAUAACAGCGUAAUAAUUUUUAAGAGUUCAUAUCGACAAAAUAGUUUGCGACCUCGAUGUUGAAUUAAAAUACUUUUAUGGAGCAGCUUUUAUAAAAAGUAGUCUGUUCGAUCUAUUAAAAUUUUACAUGAUUUGAGU